CCUCAUCUUAGUGUUGGCCGCAGAUAAUCACCUGGACUGACAUUGACUUAGACUGGACCAUGGCAUUGGCCAUUCUACAGUUUACCACCGAUGGCAUCGUUUUGCUUAUCUCGUUUUUCGGAAAUCUGUACAUCCUCAUUGUCAAUGGCUCGGACUGGAUCAGGAACAAGACCCUUAACCUGACAGAUAAGCUCAUCUGUGGUGUCAGUGCAUUUGAAGCAUUAUUCGAGCUCCUGAAGGCUUGUGGUUGGGUUUUCGAUAGGAUCAGGUUCCCGGUAGAUUAUAUCAUCAGUUUAGUGGUGAAUCUGGCCAUAAUGUCUUGCAAUCUUUGGUUUUCUACUUGCCUCUGUGUGAAUUUUUGUCUUACCAUUGUUAACUGCAAGAAUCAAUUCUUCACGUGUCUUCAAAGAAGAUCCUCAACGAAAAUAAUGUUCCUUCUCAUUCUCUCCAUCUUGGCUUCUUUCCUACUGAUCCUCCCUUUAGCAUAUAGUGUGUCCGAAAUAGCAACAUCAAAUACUGGUCUUAUAACCAACAACCAAACUAUAUCCGAGCCUUUAAAACUCAAUGGAACAUCCAUCCGUUAUAUCGAAGCUUAUAUUUUUGUAUCUUCUCUAGGAUUCCUGAUGUCCUCAGCGUCACUUCUGACUACUAUAAUGUCCCUAUGGAGACAUAUGCGAAGGAUGAAGAACAACGCUCAAAGCUUCCGAAGUCCUAAGACAGAUGUUCAUAGGAGAGCGAUUUCUGCAAGAACAGAAGACUUCCAUUGAGCGAUCAGCUCAUAUUUGGCUUUAGUGUCUUCAGUCUUCUCUAUGGACUUCAGGAAGGCUCCGAACAGUGCAAAGAACUAUUCCAUUUGGCCAACAACGAGUAUAAGAAAGAAUCCAAGAGAACACGGAGGGCUCCAGAUCUCCACACAUGGACGCUCAUAUUCGUACAGUCAAGACGGUCACCACUUUACUGGUUACUAAUAUUGUGAUAUUUAUUUCUAUGGCCAUACUGGGAAUUUAUGACAUGCCAUGGGCAUAUUUAUGUAACAUUCUGAUUUCGAUAUGCUAUGUCUUUAGCUCCUACUUUUUAAUUAAGGGAACCAAAAAAUUAUAUAUAGCAAUGGCAAAGCUACCGAACCGGUGUUCUUGCUUUCGUGGUGA